rnacentral:ncRNA from 1 species
CAAACUGAGCUCAAGCGUGAUUACCUGACGAACCUAAGCAUACCAUUUAGCGGAGGAAAAGAAACUAACAAGGAUUCCCUUAGUGACGGCGAGUGAACGGGGAGAAGCUCAGCGCUGAAUCUUUCGGUGUAACCUCGUUAAGAAAUGUAGCGUAUAGGUGUGGUUUUCAGUUUGUGCUGCAUGUUCAAAGUCCCUUUGAUAGGAGCCACAUUCCUGAGAGGGUGCGUGACCAGUGCGGGCAGUAGAGCAAGCUCUACGGUCAUACCUUGGAGUCGGGUUGCUUGAAAUUGCAGCCUAAACUGGGUGACAAACUUCAUCUAAAGCUAAAUAUAGACCCGAAUUCGAUAGCAAACAAGUAUUGUGGAGGAAGGUUGCAAAGAACUUUGAAGAGAGAGUUCAAGAGAGCGUAACAUCGCUGGAGUGGAACCGGAGAGAGCUGACAUAGCCGGGUAACUAAGUCUACUAAUGUCGCUUAAUUGUUACUGCGGGAGAUGUAUGUUGCCUAUGGCUGCGCUGACAGCGCUGGCCAUGCAUACCGAACCGUUUAGCGUUGCCCACCGUUUCGGCGGUGAUGUCUUGCUGGCGCAUAGGUUUGUCGUGGCUAGCGUUUUUGCCCUACUUCAUUGUAGGGUAUUAGUGUGAAAGUCGACCAUCUCUCCGACCCGUCUUGAAACACGGACCGUGGAGUGUAACUUGUACGCAAGUCAAAGGAUGGAAAACCCAAGUCGUAGUGAAAGCAAGGGUCGGUUAACCGCCUGACAUGGGAUCCGUUUCGUUUACAAAGCGGCGCACCAUGGCCCUUUUUUGUCUGUUUGAAAAUGGGCAGCGGUAGAGCGUACAGGUUGCGACCCGAAAGAUGGUGAACUAUGCCUGAGCAGGACGAAGUCAGAGGAAACUCUGGUGGAAGUCCGUAUCGAUUUUGACGUGCAAAUCGAUCGAUGGACUUGGGUAUGGAGACGAAAGGCUAAUCGAACAAUUUAGUAGCUUGUUCCCUCGAAGUUUUCCCCAGGAUAGUGGAGUUCAUGGCGGUUAUAUCCGGUAAAGCGAAUGAUUAGUGGACUUGGGGUCGAAACGAUUUCAUCCUAUUCUCAAACUUUCAAUGGGUAUGUUGUCUUGGUUUCUUCAUUGAACUAUUGACACGAACGAGAGUUCUGAGUGGGUCAUUUUCGGUAAGCAGAGCUAUCGCUGUGGGAUGAACCAAACGUUGGUUUAAGGUGCCGAACAUUUUGUUUAUGAGUUCCCAUAAAAGGCGUUGGUUGAUAAAAACAGCGGGACGGUGGCCAUGGAAGUCGGUACCCGCUAACGAGUCUAUAACAACUCACCUGCCGAAUCAACUAGCCCUGAAAAUGGAUGGCGCUUGAGCGAGAGUCCUAUACCCAACCGUUGCUGGCUUGUGCGUUGUCUAACGCCUAGCCGCAACUAGUAGGAGGGUCGUGGCGGUUGCGUCAAAGGCCCAGCUGGAGCUUCCGUCAGUGCAGAUCUCGGUGGUAGUAGCAAAUAUUUAAGUUCGUUCCUUGAAGACUGAAGUGGAGAAGCGUUCCACGUGAACAGUAGUUGAAUGAGGGUCAGUCGAUCCUAAGAUACUUGCUUAUGCCUUGUAUCAUCGAGAGGAAAAGGUCUCUUUUCUCACGGAUAUCAAAAGGGAAUAGGGUUAAUAUUCCUUAACGCAGACACAGAGAUUGUGGCUCUUUGAGUCACUUGCACGAUAACGCAUUCAAACUUGGUUAUGUCGCUCUGAGACAUAGCUAGGGUUGUCUUUUCCAGUUAAGGAACGGUCUCCCUGGAAUCGGUUCAGCCGUAGAUGGGGACGUUGUUUCCGUAAAGCGUCGCGGUUUCUGUGAUGUCUCGUGUUCUCUGGACGGCAAAAAACCAAGGAAGGCGAUUAAUCUGUGCUGCGUCGUACCAAUAUCCGCGGGAAGUCGGCAAAUUAGAUCCAUAACUUCGGGAAAAAGAAUGGCUCCAGUGACCGGAUCGGUUGGCCUUUUAACUGAUGCUUGUUCGGUUUCGACUGCGCCUGGCAGACACUCACGCUAAUGCUGGACUAGUGACAAGACUGCCUUGUGGAAGUUUUCAGGUGUGUGCUUUGUCUUCGGGCUUAGUAUCCUGACCGACCAUCAAAAAGGUCGAACUGGAACUGGUACGGACUCGGGGAAUCCGGCUGUCUAGUUAAAACAGAUGAAACAGAUGGUCCUUGCGGACGUUUACUGUCUCUGACUUCUGCCCAGUGUGCUGAACGUUAAAUCGUAGUAAUUCAAGUAAGCGCUGGUAAACGGCGGGAGUAACUGAGCCAAAUGCCUCGACAGCUAACUUCUGACGCGCAUGAAUGCUCCCCGACGGUGCCACCUCCACGUCGUGAGGAGCGGGCAACGGGU